rnacentral:tRNA from 1 species
AGGGGUGCAGCUCAGUGGUAGAGCACCUGCUUAGUUUAUAUAAGGCCCUGGGUUCAAUUCCCAGCACCACAA